UACCAGCACCCCGAGUGGUCGGGAUGAUUAUUGGGCCUAAAGCAUCCGUAGCCGGUCAUGCAAGUCCUCCGUUAAAUCCACCUGCUUAACAGAUGGGCUGCGGAGGAUACUACAAGGCUAGGAGGCGGAAGAGGCAAGCGGUACUCAGUGGGUAGGGGUAAAAUCCUCUGAUCCAUUGAAGACCACCAGUGGCGAAGGCGGCUUGCCAAUACGCGCUCGACGGUGAGGGAUGAAAGCUGGGGGAGCAAACCGG
rnacentral:rRNA from 1 species